rnacentral:rRNA from 1 species
GUGCCAGCCGCCGCGGUAAUACGGGGGGUGCGAGCGUUGUUCGGAAUCAUUGGGCGUAAAGGGCGCGUAGGUGGUUGUCUGUGUCUCAUGUGAAAACUCAGGGCUCAACUCUGAGAUUGCGUGGGAAACUAGGCAACUAGAGGACGGUAGAGGGGAGUGGAAUUCCCGGUGUAGCGGUAAAAUGCGUAGAUAUCGGGAGGAACACCGGUGGCGAAGGCGGCUCUCUGGGCCGAUCCUGACGCUGAGGCGCGAAAGCUAGGGGAGCGAACCGGAUUAGAUACCCGGGUAGUCCUAGCCGUAAACGAUGGGUGCUAGGUGUUGGGGGGUAAAGACCCUUCAGUGCCGAAGCCAACGCGAUAAGCAUCCCACCUGGGGAGUACGGCCGCAAGGUUGAAACUCAAAGGAAUUGGCGG